AAGCAGCAUAGCGAGCAGUAAUUAUCGCUGCGCUUGCUGACAGCGUGAUCGCGGGAAGUUCGAGGCUUCGCUGUUUC
rnacentral:tRNA from 1 species